CUUUCCCAUGCCCCCACCACUCCCUCCCUCUCCCUUCACUUUGCCCCAAAGGUCUUAUUCUCUUUAACUCUGUCGCCCCUGUGAGCUCCCAGAGGCCCCGCCUGGAACUGAUGCUUUCCGGGCUGCUGGCUCGGCCCUCUGUGGAAACAGAAACCUCACUUCCCUGUUAACCCCAAGGGCGGGGCCUUGGACUUCAGGCAGCUGUUGAUUACGUGCAUAGCUGUGUUUGCCUUGUCCAAUGGCAAAAUUUUCCCUAUGUCUGAGAAAUUGGCUGUCAUGGCCUGGGAUUGAAUUCUCGGUAAUUUUUUCAUUAAAAUUAAUGAAAAUAUUUCUUCACUUAAUGGCUUUUCAUUUAGGGGCAGGACUUUCAGGGAUUAAUGGGCUUGCAGCUCGAGGACCAGGUGCUCACUCAGGCUUUAUUGAGCUCUCGCUGCCGCUCCCUGGAGGCAGCUCUGUCUCCAGCAGGCCCUCAUCUGACCGACCCCUGAUGUCAGGAGGGAAUCUGUGUUCUUCUGUCAGAAAAGAGAGUAUCAGGAGUGUACUUAUUGGCUCGAGUUGACGAAAAGCUUCAGGUACGGCUGGAUCCAGGUGUCUAGCUUCACUUUCAGCCAAGUCUUCCUUCUGUGAGCUGGAAAGCUGCUGCAGAGGACUGCCCUCUCCAACAUGUUGUGUAGAUGAACCUGAAGCCUGGUGUCCAUAUAGAGCCAAGAGUAAGGCUAACCUCGUGGAUUCGAUAUGCUGAGAAGAAAAGCCAGGGGGCUGGCUCCCACAGGAGGCCAGAAGGUGCUGGCAGCUUAUCUAGCUGUGAUAAUGAAGAGAAGGGGGCCACUAAUUCCUUCUUGCUUUAUUGAAUCCACCAAUCCCUCACAGCCUCGGGGGCUGAGAGCGGCUGAUUAAAAGACACUUCAGCACGCCAGUUAUUGCCAAUUAACAGACUGCAAUAUAAACAAUUAAUAGAGCCAUGGUGGGAGGUAGAGGGAGGGGUACUAUCUCCCACAGGGCACACAAACUUGCUCCUAGGACAGCCUGCAGGGUGGCGGUCAGAAGUAGUGGAUGACAGGGACAUAAAGGGUGAGAGCUGGAUGGGGGGACACCCAUCUGCAGGCCUGCAACAGGAGGGCUGUGCCUGUGCCCUUGAUGUCAGUGAGGAUUGCCCUUCCCCCCACUCACCCUUGGGCAGAUAGCAGCCACCCAAGCCUGGUGACUGUCCACUGAUCCGAGGCUCGGAGGCCAUCACCAGCCACCAUGCCUCUUAGGACAGACACUGCAGCUGUUUCCGUGCCAGGCUCCCCUCCCCACCUGCUGUGGCCUCCGCGACUUGUGGAGAGCACCUGCCGAGGACAACUCCCGGAGAGUGAAAAGCUUCACAGUGUCCCUCCACACGUCAGAUGCCACCAAGACCACUCUCCUGGAACCCUCAGGGACCUGAUCUGGAAGCAUGAUGUAGAGAGACACUCACGCUAGGAAGGGCUGAAGAAUAUUUCCCUAACCAGCAAGUAGAUGGUGACCUGCUCUUGACUCUAGAAACCUGAUCCAGAGGCCACCGUGCUCCAAGGCCAGGAGUCCUCAGCCUCAGUCUGGGAAGGAUCAGAGAGUGUCUGAGCCUGGCUCACUCCAGCCUGCACACUCUCAAACCUCGUGCUGCUAACAAUUGUGAGAGCAGCUGCAGUU